AAAAUAAUUAAAAAAUAUAUAACAAGUAUAUAAAUAUAAAUAUUUAAUUUAAUAAUUAUUAAUUUAUUUUUACAUAAGAUGUUCCCUUGGCUAGAAGGGAUCUCUCUCUUCAUUUUCCUUUCUGCUGAGGCACACGGUCAUUAUUUUAAUCUGCGACCGCCUCUACCCCUCUGAGACGACCGACUCUCUUACCUUUUUAAAUGUAGAGAUCUAAGGAUCGAAGCUUAUAAAACUUUCAUGUCUCCAGUAAUGGCAAGGUCAAGGACUGCUUUGCAUGUCCGUACUCGCAACUGUGGAAAGCAACAAAGGAGUGCGGCGCAUCUGUGGUGGCUUAUUGGGUUAAUGGAACGAGUCAAAUUUGUAUUUCUUGAUCUUAGGGUUUGGGCUGUGGUGGCCUAGUGCAGUGGUCUAAGACAUAGCUGCCAAGAUUUUAAAAAAUAUUGCAAGUAUGGUAAAUAGAAAAGCAUAUGUAAAUUAAUUUAAGCGCUUGACGCAUAUAAAAUUUUUCUAAUUUAAGC